rnacentral:lncRNA from 1 species
GAGGCCUUUCAAGGGCCAAGAGGUUAAGGGCUGGGGGUGGGUGUGGAAAUAAAGAGGAACAUUUGGAGAUCCAUAUUAGAGGAGGAAUGAACAGGACUGGGUCACAGGUUGUUUAGGACAUAGGGACAUACAGGAUGAGGAAACUCUCCCAGAGUCCUAGACUAAUACACAAAUUAACAUACAUGGGCACAGGCCAGGGCAAUGGCUCAUGCCUGUAAUCCCAGCACUUGGGGAGGCCAAGGUGGGAGGAUUGCUUGAGCCCAGGAGGUUGAAGCUGCAGUGAGCUAUGGUUGUGCCACUGUACUCCAGCCUGGGUGAUAGAGGGAGACCCUGUCUCUAAAGGAAUUAAAAAAAAAAACACUGGUACAAUUUAUUGACAGCGAGUCUGGGUCACAGUCAAAUAGAGGAAGAAGACGACCAAGAUUUGGGGGUUGGAUUGUUUUUAAUAUGUAAUGUCUAUGAAACAACCAAGCCAGAAAAUCAACAAGGCAAUUCUAUAUCUAUGUAAUUCUGAAUGAAGAUAAAACCUUGGGCUUAUACGCAUGGAGAUAAGAAUUAACGCCUUGGAAAAGGAUUACAUCCCCCAGAGGUUAUGUUUUUAAGUGCAGAGAUAGAAUAAUAAGGCCAUACCUGAACUGUGGUGCACUGCAGACUGUAAACCCAGGCAGAGGAGUCUCUGCUGGCAAACGCUGCUGGGGAGGAGCAUCCAGAGAGGGAGGAGAAGGUUCUGAUGUCAGGAUCCAGAGAGGAGAGGAUCUUCGGAAUCGCAGAUCUGAGUUUCUGACUUACAUCAUUCUCCUUUUCGCUGAAGAAAUUCUUUUAACAUUUCUUGUGAGGUAGAGUUUGUUUUUGUUUUUUUUUUACAGAAACAGGAACUAAAGAGUUUUAACUGGGCACCGCUAUAGCAGUGGCUGUUGAUCAUCGUCUCCUGGCUGGAACCAGGGAAUCCUGUCGUUCAGGGAGGAGCAACGCAGCAGCAGGCAUGCCUUCUCAGCCCCAGCUGACUCACUCUGGGGUGGAUGGAUGUAUUUACUUACUUAUUUAUUAUUUGGUUCUUGCUCUGUCGCCCAGGCUGGAGUACAGUGAUGCAAUCUCGGCUCACUGCAGCCUGGACCUCCCGGGCUCAAGCGAUCCCACCUCAGCCUCCCAAGUAGCUGGGACUUCAGGCACAUGCCACUACGCCAGCUAAUUUUUUAAACGUUUUGUAGAGACAGGCUCUCGCCCUGUUGCCCAGGCUGGUCUUGAACUCCUGGCCUCAAGCCGUCUGCCCACCUUGGCCUCCCAAAGUGCUGGGAUUACAGGUGUGAGUUACCACACUCAGCCCACUCGGUUUUGAGUGGCCAUUUGCUUUGACUCAGCAAACACUUCUGAUGGUAACAAAGCACCAACUGAGUGGCUGGUUUCAAUCCUACUCUUGCACCCAACACCGCAACAUUUUAUCUACCUGGAGCAAACGCUCUGGGGUCCUGAGGAGCUGGCCACACUGCCCAUUUUGCUGGUGGGACAGUGGGAGGCCCUGCCCUCCUCCCAUCCCACACCUCUUAGGCAAGAGCUGUGCCCAGGAAAUGUCACCUGUAACUGGUCUGCACAGACCCUGUCUUCCAAAAGGGUGCUGUGCCUCCACCAGACCCCACGGGCAGUACAUUGGUCAAGCACAUGCAAGACACGCCAAGGCCAAGGCCUGACUGAUUGGACAGUAAAGACACAAUGAGCCCCUCUCGUUCGAAGCUGAUUACUCACAGAGUGAAAAUAAGAGAAGCCUGAGGUGGCAGCUCCCUCCCGUCCUGGUGCCACACACUAAAAAGGACAGCACCGAAACAAAAGGGGUCAGAGAGCACGCGCUGAGGGACACCCACUGCGGAGCAGCCCCUGGAGACUGCGCCGGGUGGCAUCCUCAUCUGUGGCUCUGUUGUGGGGGCCAGGGGCAGGCAGCCUCCCCCUCACCAGGGCCAGCGAGGCAGGCAGUGAGGAGCAGUCUCGGGAGACAGAGGGAAUGAGAGGUGGCCUGGGUGCAGCCUGAUGUUCUGGGAGGAGCAGGCUUAGGUCAGCUGCUGUGCGCACCUCUGCGUGGCCUGUGGGGAUCCUGCAAUGGCUCAGGGCCCCACGGCAGAGCUGUCUCUCUGUCCACACAACGGACACACAACCUGACACACGGAAACUCACAGAGACACCAGAGAGGCACAUGUGACACUCAAAGACAGACCCACACAAAAGCCACGCAGGAAAGCCUUUUGCCACACGUGCACACACACAUACACACAGGUGCCCAUCCCUUCAAACCUUGGUGUUUGCCCAGACACACCUGUGUCAGAGACAGGGGACCUGCAGCUCCCCAACACACACCAGUCACCCCACACUAACCCAAGGUGUCACCAGCCAGCCUGGAGGACUUGGGAGGCCAAAUGGAGGUGGACAGUGGCCGCAGAGCAAAGGCCUUCGGUGGAUAGCACCCGACGUGAAGAGCCAUGGCGCCCACCGUGUCCACACACACAGGGGACACGCACGUCUGUGCACCAGCUCCCCCAUUCCUACACACGCAUCACCCAUCCCUGGGGCUCUGGAGGAUGAGGCCCCUCCUUCCAGACCAGGGCCUCCCUGAAGACCCAGAGGUGGUCCAGGAGUCCCCAUGCCUGAGUGACCCACUGCUCAUGUCCAUGAAAAAGAAAAGGAACUGUGUGUGUGUGUGUGUUUGUCAGCACAAUGGAAGUUUAUUUUAUAUAUAUAUAUACUUUAAGUUCUGGGGUACAUGUGCAGAACGUGCAGGUUUGUUACAUAGGUAUACACG